rnacentral:sRNA from 1 species
GUCAACUACCCACGAAUGAAUUCGUGGGCUUGAGGUGAAAACCCGAAAGCCCAAGUUGACCAGACUCAGUGAGGCGGGAAACCGCCGAACUACGUUGGAUAAGAAUACACAGGCACUCCGGGAUGUUUAUCCCAGUCCCGGACUCUGC